rnacentral:tRNA from 1 species
AAGGGUAUUGCUCAGUGGUAGAGUGUGUACCUAGCAUUCCCAAGGUCCUGGGUUCAAUCCCCAGUACCUCCU